CGGGACGGGUGAGUAAUGUCUAGGGAAACUGCCUGAUGGAGGGGGAUAACUACUGGAAACGGUAGCUAAUACCGCAUAACGUCGCAAGACCAAGAGGGGACCUUCGGGCCUCUUGCCAUCGGAUGUGCCCAGAUGGGAUUAGCUAGUAGGUGGGGUAACGGCUCACCUAGGCGACGAUCCCUAGCUGGUCUGAGAGGAUGACCAGCCACACUGGAACUGAGACACGGUCCAG
rnacentral:rRNA from 1 species